rnacentral:rRNA from 1 species
CCUACGGGAGGCAGCAGUGGGGAAUAUUGCACAAUGGGGGAAACCCUGAUGGCAGCGACGCCGCGUGGAGGAAGAAGGUCUUCGGAUUGUAAACUCCUGUUGUUGAGGAAGAUAAUGACGGUACUCAACAAGGAAGUGACGGCUAACUACGUGC